UACAGAGACUGCAAGCGUUAUUCGGAUUCACUGGGCGUAAAGGGUGCGCAGGCGGCUGGGUGUGUCAGAUGUGAAAUCCCGAGGCUCAACCUCGGAACUGCGUCUGAAACUACUCGGCUAGAGUACUGGAGAGGGAGGCGGAAUCCACGGUGUAGCAGUGAAAUGCGUAGAUAUCGUGAGGAACACCAAUGGCGAAGGCAGCCUCCUGGACAGUUACUGACGCUCAGGCACGAAAGCGUGGGGAGCAAAAGGGAUUAGAAACCCGGGUAGU
rnacentral:rRNA from 1 species